rnacentral:rRNA from 1 species
GACGAACGCUGGCGGCGUGCUUAACACAUGCAAGUCGAACGAAGAGCGAUGGAAGCUUGCUUCUAUCAAUCUUAGUGGCGAACGGGUGAGUAACGCGUAAUCAACCUGCCCUUCAGAGGGGGACAACAGUUGGAAACGACUGCUAAUACCGCAUACGAUCUAAUCUCGGCAUCGAGGAUAGAUGAAAGGUGGCCUCUAUAUGUAAGCUAUCACUGAAGGAGGGGAUUGCGUCUGAUUAGCUAGUUGGAGGGGUAACGGCCCACCAAGGCGAUGAUCAGUAGCCGGUCUGAGAGGAUGAACGGCCACAUUGGGACUGAGACACGGCCCAGACUCCUACGGGAGGCAGCAGUGGGGAAUCUUCCGCAAUGGACGAAAGUCUGACGGAGCAACGCCGCGUGAGUGAUGACGGCCUUCGGGUUGUAAAGCUCUGUUAAUCGGGACGAAAGGCCUUCUUGCGAAUAGUGAGAAGGAUUGACGGUACCGGAAUAGAAAGCCACGGCUAACUACGUGCCAGCAGCCGCGGUAAUACGUAGGUGGCAAGCGUUGUCCGGAAUUAUUGGGCGUANAGCGCGCGCAGGCGGAUCAGUCAGUCUGUCUUAAAAGUUCGGGGCUUACCCCGU